UAUUGUUUUCUUCCUUGUCUACCGUUCUACCAUUCCCACAAGCCCUGGUUUUAUCAUUAGGAGAGAACCAACGUUGGUGUUGGGGGUGGUGGUGGAGGGGGGCGGUUCGCGGUUGUGGUGGUAAGUAACUAAUGGCCAGAGACCAUAUUAUGGCAGAUGGGAAGAACUCAACAUGAAAAGUAAUGGUGGUACCCGAUCCAACUCGUGAAUCAGCAGCCGUUCUUCAAUAUGCGCUCUCCCAUGCUGUCGCGGAAAAUGACACGUUGAUUCUUUUGCAUGUUGGUAACCCUAAUGCAUGGAGUAAUCUCCUUGGUUCUUUUAUCAAGAAGCCAUUACAAAACUCAGCUACGUCCUCGUCCACGACCUCUUUAUCCUCUCAAUCCGAAGAAGGAAGAGGCAUACACAAUAAUUCGUUAGGUGCUUUCUUUAAGAAAUCUCUAGCAUCCUCUGCAUCACCGCCGUCGUCCACGCCCUCCAACGUGGCGGAAGACGGUGGUGUAAGAGGAUGUGGAGGAAAGAGAUACAUGAAUUUUCUUGGGACAAUGAAACAGGCAUGAGGUUGCACAACCUAAGAUAAAGGUUUGUACGGAGACGGUGGAAAUGGACGGCAAUGCCAAGGAAAAGGCUUCUAUCAUUCUUGCUAAAGGCCUAGACGAAGUGUGUCGCUAAGAGGGCUGGGUCUGGAUAUGGCAGAAUAUUUGAUUGAGACCAGGAAAUGCACCUGUGUUGCAGUUCAAAGCAUAAUCUUAACACCAAAACUCAUAGAAAUUUCUGGCUCUUAGCAUAAUCUUAAUUAUACAUGCAUAAAAUAGUUUCUUCAUUUUCCUUUUUCCACUUGUAAAUGGCUCGAACUCUACAUCCUUCUCAAUUUUAUUUGGUUAUCUACAAAGAGUAUUGCUAAGUCAAUUUUGUGGUUGAAAUAGGAAAUAGAUGUAUUUCA